ACGGCUCAGUAACACGUGGAUAACCUGCCCUUGGGUCCGGCAUAACCCCGGGAAACUGGGGAUAAUUCCGGAUAACGCACAUAUGCUGGAAUGCUUUAUGCGUAAAAUGGAUUCGUCUGCCCAAGGAUGGGUCUGCGGCCAAUCAGGUAGUAGUGGGUGUAAUGUACCUACUAGCCAACAACGGGUACGGGUUGUGAGAGCAAGAGCCCGGAGAUGGAUUCUGAGACAUGAAUCCAGGCCCUACGGGGCGCAGCAGGCGCGAAAACUUUACAAUGCGGGAAACCGUGAUAAGGGGACACCGAGUGCCAGCAUCAUAUGCUGGCUGUCCAGGUGUGUAAACUACACCUGUUAGCAAGGGCCGGGCAAGACCGGUGCCAGCCGCCGCGGUAACACCGGCGGCCCGAGUGGUGAUCGUGAUUAUUGGGUCUAAAGGGUCCGUAGCCGGUUUGGUCAGUCCUCCGGGAAAUCUGAUAGCUCAACUAUUAGGCUUUCGGGGGAUACUGCCAGGCUUGGAACCGGGAGAGGUAAGAGGUACUACAGGGGUAGGAGUGAAAUCUUGUAAUCCCUGUGGGACCACCUGUGGCGAAGGCGUCUUACCAGAACGGGUUCGACGGUGAGGGACGAAAGCUGGGGGCACGAACCGGAUUAGAUACCCGGGUAGUCCCAGCCGUAAACGAUGCUCGCUAGGUGUCAGGCAUGGCGCGACCGUGUCUGGUGCCGCAGGGAAGCCGUGAAGCGAGCCACCUGGGAAGUACGGCCGCAAGGCUGAAACUUAAAGGAAUUGGCGGGGGAGCACA
rnacentral:rRNA from 1 species